GGACAACCUGCCCUGAGGACUGGAAUAAUCCCGGGAAACUGGGGGUAAUUCCAGAUAUGUCAGAACUCCUGGAAUGGGUUCUGGCAGAAAGGCUCCGACGCCUCAGGAUGGGUCUGCGGCCUAUCAGGGUAGUAGUGGGUGUAACGUACCUACUAGCCUACGACGGGUACGGGUUGUGAGAGCAAGAGCCCGGAGAUGGAUUCUGAGACAUGAAUCCAGGCCCUACGGGGUGCAGCAGGCGCGAAAACUUUACAAUGCGGGCAACCGCGAUAAGGGGACCUCGAGUGCUGGGUUACAAACCUGGCUGUUGGGCUGCCUAAAAAGCAGUCUAUAGCAAGGGCCGGGCAAGACCGGUGCCAGCCGCCGCGGUAACACCGGCGGCUCGAGUGGUAACCGCUAUUAUUGGGUCUAAAGGGUCUGUAGCCGGCCGACUAAGUCUCUUGGGAAAUCUGGCAUCUCAAGUGUCAGGCUGCCAGGGGAUACUGGUCGGCUUGGGACCGGGAGAGGUGAGAGGUACCUCGGGGGUAGGGGUGAAAUCUUGUAAUCCUCGAGGGACCACCAGUGGCGAAGGCGUCUCACCAGAACGGAUCCGACGGCAAGGGACGAAAGCUAGGGGCACGAACCGGAUUAGAUACCCGGGUAGUCCUAGCCGUAAACGAUACUCGCUAGGUGUCGGCCACGGUGCGACCGUGGUCGGUGCCGUAGGGAAGCCGUGAAGCGAGCCACCUGGGAAGUACGGCCGCAAGGCUGAAACU
rnacentral:rRNA from 1 species